AGUGAACGCUGGCGGUAGGCCUAACACAUGCAAGUCGAACGGCAGCACAGUAAGAGCUUGCUCUUACGGGUGGCGAGUGGCGGACGGGUGAGGAAUACAUCGGAAUCUACUUUUUCGUGGGGGAUAACGUAGGGAAACUUACGCUAAUACCGCAUACGACCUACGGGUGAAAGCAGGGGAUCUUCGGACCUUGCGCGAUUGAAUGAGCCGAUGUCGGAAUAGCUAGUUGGCGGGGUAAAGGCCCACCAAGGCGACGAUCCGUAGCUGGUCUGAGAGGAUGAUCAGCCACACUGGAACUGAGACACGGUCCAGACUCCUACGGGAGGCAGCAGUGGGGAAUAUUGGACAAUGGGCGCAAGCCUGAUCCAGCCAUACCGCGUGGGUGAAGAAGGCCUUCGGGUUGUAAAGUCCUUUUGUUGGGAAAGAAAAGCAGCAGGUUAAUACCCCGCUGUUCUGACGGUACCCAAAGAAUAAGCACCGGCUAACUUCGUG
rnacentral:rRNA from 1 species